GCGAGAAGGGGCGGUCGGCCCCGGGAAGGUCCCAUCGGUGCGGGGAUGGCGGCGGUGCAGGGGAACCGAGCUGCCACCCCCACCCAUCUGUGCUGAGAUGGCUCCGAAAGAUCUGUGAUGGAGUAGAAACCAUGGCAGUGAACAAGCAUCAAGGCCAACAAGUAUGAAGACAGAGAAAUGUUCCAGCCCUUUUAUGGAACAGGUUGAGCCAGACAAGUACCAGCUAGGUCCCCCAUGUGACUUGUCCUGAGUGAUAAAGCUUUUCCCAAAAGCUGAGACUUUCUGUGGUCUGAGGAGACUAGGAAAGGCUUUACUCCUGUGUCAACUGGCUCCUGAAUUUACCAGCUCACAGGAACCCUCAUGCAUUUUUUGUGCAACAGCUACAGCUUGUCAAGGUCCAGUUUCUCACUAUUUCACAUCACCCCCAGAUCCACCCACCAGAGUAAGAAGUGACCCAGGUCAAGUCUAGUUCAUCAGUACAGUGAAGGCAGGGCAGGAAACAAUACACUUAAGGUGCACAUCAAAGAAGGUCUAACUUUGGCACCAUCAUUAAAUGUCUCAAGCCCUAACCACAGUUAAGCACUGAAAAGAUUGACUAGGGAGAUCGAGGAGGCUGGAUUCUCAAAUGCUUUCAAGAACAGGGCAGAGACAAACAUCUAUCUGGACUUGUUAGGGUCUAGCUGGUUCUGUCUUGUGGCACAAUAUGGACCGGAUGACCUCUUGUUAUGCAUUGGCCCUUCACAUCCAAGUUUCUAGGUACAUUUGUUCAGCCUCCCUCUUUCACAUGCUGUCCCCUCUCUGCGUGUGCACAGGAUGUGUGGGACACUGCUGAGCUUGAUGCUGAGCAAGUUGGGCUGACUUGUGGAAUCAUAUUUUCCUUUAAAUUAGGAUGAGUUUUGAGAUAUACAUAAAUGUAUAGAAUGCCAGAGAAUAUUUAUUAGGGUUGAAAUUAACAUUAAUUGAUUUGAUUUUUGCUGAUUAAGUAAUUAUGAGAACUAAAGGGGUAAUCACUGUUUCAAAGAGGAAAUGAAACAAUCAUCCAAGCUAGACAAGUCUUGAGUUUCUAAUCUGAGCAGGGGGAAAAAAAGCUACAGGUGAAGAUCAAAGAGCAGUAUCUCUACUAUGCUUUCUUUCCUUCCAUGCUUACCUCAGUCUUAUACAUCUAUACAGUGCCCUUUGAGAUAGAGUGAAGAAAUAUGAAAGGGUUAGUCCAGGGACUAGAACAUCACAAGGAGCAGUUCUUGGUUUACUUCAUGCCCAGAGGAGGAAGAAGUCUUCCCUACAUCUCUCCACCUCACCAGAAGUAGGGCCAGAUCUGUCAAGUCACUGACAAAUAAACAUGAGGCUCAUGAGUGAGUCCUGCCUCACCCCCUCUCUGUAGCUGUUUCUUGCACAUCUGGAGUCCAUCCGGGCCUCUCACCCCCAAGGUGACCUCACGUGCCAGAUUUACUUACUAGAAGUUUGGGAUAUCUCCAGGGCUCACGUCCUCAGCCAGCAACAUGGAAAGAGGUCACCGAGUGCAAACCUCAUCCUGACACCCCAUGCCUAGCAAUUGCAACCUCUCAGCUGGCUCAUGUGUGGCUUGGCCACCCAUACAUGUGCAAUUACUCCUUUCUCCUGUUCCCACCUGUAUUACAAUGGAAACUAGGAUGAAGGGAAGCUCUGGACAGCCAUCUACCAUCGGUCCCUUAAAAACAAAACAAAAAAGGCCAUUUCUCAGCUGCUGUAGCAUAAUGGUGCUUAGUCCCCCUGCCCCCUUCAGGAUGUGGCUGAGAUAUAUCAGGGAAGAGCAGCUGUCAGCAUGGAUGUGCCUAAAAUUAGCUCAAAGGGAAGGUUUCCUCCAUUUAUUUAUUUAUUUGCUCCUUAAAAGGACCCUUCUUAUUAGAUGCAAAUUCAGCACAAAAGCUUCAAGCCAGUACAAAAGCUCUGCUAAUAUUUUUCAAUUAGACAGAGUGAGGUUACAGCAUCUUGCAUUUGAACUUCUGCUUAGUUCUAGAUGUUCCUGGGAUAGAGGCUGUAGUGAUGGGGUGACUUUUUAGAUGUUUGGCUGUCUGCAGGAACAUCUUUGAAAGAGCUGUAGGUUCAGCUGGUGAGUUAGUUUGCUGGAGGUCAGCGUGCCAUUCAUUUAAUGUUAUAGGUGCUGCAGGAAGGAAUAAUGGAAAAUGGGUCGCUAACCUCAAUUUAUCUCCUUUCAGAUACACAUUCUUCUCAAGAGGUUUCUUAUUGUACAUAAUGGCAUUACCUUCUGUCAUCUGUUUGUCAGUUUUCCCUAUAUCCAUCUUUCCCACCCUCUGAUAACUUCAGUACUUUCUCACCAAUUUCACACUCUCAAACUGGAGGGGAAGCAAGGGGGUAGGGAAAGGUCUGACAGAUACUAGAUUCCAGCAAGUUUUUGUCUGAGAAAAAUACCUCAGUAAGGCCUUCUGUAAGCAAAGGACUGGAGAAUGAAUUCACUUCUUUUUAGAAAGAAUCCAUGUAUGGCACAGGUCUGUAGGAAAGCCAGCUUGAUCAUUCUGCUGCUCCAAAGACCAGUUGCUAGGUCAACCUCUGUUUGGCUCUUUCCACACUGAUGGUAAUGGGAGUAUCUGUGAAGACAGUUAGAACUUAAAAGAAAAAAUAAACAACCAAAAAAAUCGCAUCUUUAUGGGGAAAAAACCAAAACGAGAUCUCUUGGUGUGUAACUGUUCUAUUCUACCUAUCUGUCUCAGGAAAAUACCAUAACAUUUCUAUUCCUGGAAUGGGCCUCACAGGACACCGGUGUCUGUCUUUGAAUUCUUCCUGACAUCUGGCUCUAUGAUGACCCUCAGCCAUUCAAGAGCUGGUUUUCUAAGGGUUCUGUCUUUGUGCAGACUUAACUGCUCUCCCACCUGCCUUCUCUUCCUGCUUUCAUCUUCUACUCUCAUUUUUUUGAGGUGAGGAAUUGUCAUUGCUGUUGCAGUAAGGUGCUGGGUGAGACUGGGGCAGCUGGUUCCUACUGCAGGAUGAACCAUCAAUCAACAAAUUAGUUCAUGUGGCUUCACUACUGGAGAGCACCCCUAGACAUGGUUGUGCUAUGAUAUAAUAUAGCCUGGACUUACAUAGUCAAGUCAAGCAGUAGUUUUCCUCUUCUGAGUCUACAAAUUUUUGGACCCACAUUUUUUAAUUGGUACCAGCAUGAGAGGCCAUGGACUAUGACUGUAUGCUAUCAGAGCAUAAAUAGUAAGUGGGCUGGAGUGCUGACUCUACCUGGACUCUUCUAUCUAGAGCCAGUCUCAAUAUUCAAGAUCCAGGAGCAAAGUUUCCACACAGCAUCUUCAAUUUUUUCUCAUCUACCAAGUCAACUGGAUGUGCAAGCAAGCUGGACCCUGGAGACCCUACAGCUUUUAAUGAGAUGUGUGGAUGUAUCGUGGGAAGUUUCCUGUUUGAGCAGCUGUCACCAGCUCUGCAAUGACAAGAAACAUGUCUUCAGCUCUCAGCUCUGAAGCUCAUUUCUUUACAGUGGUUGUCAGUGAAGACAUUCUGUGAAUAAAUGAACAGAGAUCUUCAAACAAACAACACAUUCUUCCUCAGGUCAACUUUGCAGACAAAGCAAAUAUUUCAAGAGAAUAUGGUUACUGCUCAUAGCUCUCUGGAGCCAGCCUGCUAACUCUUCUGCGAUGGCUGUAAAUCUGAUGGUGGUUCAGCUUAAGGACUUCACAGAUGCUCCUUCAGACUGAUAUAGUGUACCAUAAAUGGGACUGAAAGCUAUGAUCUAUAGCAGACAAAGCCUUUCUGGUUCAUUCAAACAUUGGGGAACCAGACUAUUGUAUAUAUGCACAGUUGGGAUUCAUCCAGAAGUGAAUGAUAGCCAAAAGAAUGUACACGUUCCUUGGCUGGGAAAUGUUGAUUUCAGAAGGCAGCAAAGGUAACAUGAGGAUACAGGGAGACUCCCUCUCCUGGCAUUUAUUAUCUGAAACUCGUUUUUUGACUCACCUCAGGCUGACUGCAAAAGGGGAGAGUCCCAGGAGGACUUAAGAGCUCUCACCAUACAUCAGAUACUCUGGCUUAGAGGCAAUGAAGCAUUUGGUCUCCAUGGGAUGGCAAGCAAAUAGAAGGUGGUCCCACAGCCUCACGCUGAAUUCUGGGUGGUGUCUGUCUAGCUAAAGAGAUGUAUCAAUACAAAUAACAUUGCAAUCAGCUUGUGGGAUGAGUUUCUGUUAAGCACUGUGGAGAGUCCAAAAGGGUUUGGGGGGUGAAAUUCAUCAGCUCUCCAUAUAGGUAGCAGCCACCAAAGACACUAUAUAACAAUAAAGGUUAAAAGCAAACAAGUAAAUCCUAAGGCAUGCUGCAGAGGGGGAAGCCUGCCUACAAAGCAUGAGACAACCACUAAUUAACAGGGUUGGGAAGAAUGUUCCUGGGGACAGAGGGGCGCACACCAGCAGUACCAUGGGGUGUCCUGGGAAGCUGUGCUCCUGGCAUCAGUCCCAUGUGGGCCACAGAAUGAGAGGGAUCCUUGGUCUGAUCCUGCCUGGCAGUUUCUGUGCAAAACAGGGCCAAUGGGAAGCUUCCCACCCUCGAGGAGGGAAGAGGUGGGCCGUGAGUUUAACAAACAUUUUGGUAUUUGGAAGUCAUUCCCAGCUCUCGUUUAACACACAGACUGCAUUUCCCAUUGCUAACUGGCAGCAAAGAGCUCAUCAACAUUUAAAUAAGAGGCUUGUUAAUGCCAGCGUGAGGCAGGUUUGCAUGCCAAGACUGGCUAAGGUUUCGUGCCAAGGAUUUUCUAAGAGAGAAUUUCUCUAGGAAACUCCUUCAAAAGAAGAAUUCACUUCUGCUUAAAGAGAGUGAGGGUUUAAUUUGAAGAGGUGGUGAGCUGGUUAACUCAAAUGGAUGGUGCAAGAGCUGAAAGCCUGUGAAAAUAGGACUCCAGCUUUUAAAUCAAUUAGCUGAAGAAGGGCAUGUGGUGUUUUGCAACUGGUUAUGCUUUCUGCAAUUCAAUAACUGAAAGAAAAAAAAAAAGGCCAUCCAUAACCUCUUCCACCAGUCCCACUGUCUUGCCUGUCAAUGCGGAGUAUACUAAGGUGAGGCUUUAAAUGCACCUGUGACCUGAGUGUGGGAAUAUUGUUUCCUACAAAUGGUCAGCCAACAGCCU